AGCUUGCUACUUUUGCCGGCGAGCGGAUGACGGGUGAGUAAUGCCUGGGGAUCUGCCCAGUCGAGGGGGAUAACUACUGGAAACGGUAGCUAAUACCGCAUACGCCCUACGGGGGAAAGCAGGGGACCUUCGGGCCUUGCGCGAUUGGAUGAACCCAGGUGGGAUUAGCUAGUUGGUGAGGUAAUGGCUCACCAAGGCGACGAUCCCUAGCUGGUCUGAGAGGAUGAUCAGCCACACUGGAACUGAGACACGGUCCAGACUCCUACGGGAGGCAGCAGUGGGGAAUAUUGCACAAUGGGGGAAACCCUGAUGCAGCCAUGCCGCG
rnacentral:rRNA from 1 species